AAGAUAAUGUAUACAGCCUGACACCUGCCCGGUGCUGGAAGGUUAAGAGGAGAUGUCAUCGCAAGAGAAGCAUUGAAUUGAAGCCCCAGUAAACGGCGGCCGUAACUAUAACGGUCCUAAGGUAGCGAAAUUCCUUGUCGGGUAAGUUCCGACCCGCACGAAAGGCGUAACGAUUUGGGCACUGUCUCAACAACAGACUGGGUGAAAUUGUAAUACCGGUGAAGAUGCCGGUUACCUGCGACAGGACGGAAAGACCCCAUGGAGCUUUACUGUAGCUUGACAUUGAGUCUCGGUGCUACAUGUACAGGAUAGGUGGGAGGCUAUGAAGCAUGGACGUCAGUUUGUGUGGAGCCAUCCUUGGGAUACCACCCUUGUAGUACUGGGAUUCUAACCAGCUGCCUUGAAUCAGGUAGUGGGACACUGUCAGGUGGACAGUUUGACUGGGGCGGUCGCCUCCUAAAGAGUAACGGAGGCGCUCAAAGGUUCUCUCAGUACGGUCGGAAAUCGUACGUAGAGUGUAAAGGCAGAAGAGAGCUUGAUUGCAAGACAUACAGGUCGAGCAAGGACGAAAGUCGGACUUAGUGAUCCGGUGGUACCGCAUGGAAGGGCCAUCGCUCAACGGAUAAAAGCUACCCUGGGGAUAACAGGCUGAUCUCCCCCAAGAGUCCACAUCGACGGGGAGGUUUGGCACCUCGAUGUCGGCUCAUCACAUCCUGGGGCUGUAGUAGGUCCCAAGGGUUGGGCUGUUCGCCCAUUAAAGUGGUACGCGAGCUGGGUUCAGAACGUCGUGAGACAGUUCGGUCCCUAUCCGUCGCAGGCGUAGGAAAUUUGAGGAGACCUGUCCUUAGUACGAGAGGACCGGGAUGGACGUACCGCUGGUGUACCAGUUGUUCUGCCAAGGGCAUAGCUGGGUAGCUAAGUACGGAAAGGAUAAGCGCUGAAAGCAUCUAAGCGCGAAGCCUACUUCGAGAUAAGAUUUCCCACCGCAAGGUUAAGACCCCAUGAAGACUACAUGGUUGAUAGGUCAGAGGUGGAAGUGUGGUAACAUAUGUAGCUUACUGAUACUAAUAGGUCGAGGACUUGACCAA
rnacentral:rRNA from 1 species